AUACAGUAAGUUACAUUGCAGCUUGUUCAGUGCUACUCUUUUUAGCCCCUGCACACAUCAACUAGUUUCUUACUAUCCCUGUCUGUCUGCAACCCACGGCAGGCAGGGACGCUUGGUCUCAGACAC
rnacentral:snoRNA from 1 species